rnacentral:rRNA from 1 species
UUGACCUCGAAUCAGGCGGGACUACCCGCUGAACUUAAGCAUAUCAAUAAGCGGAGGAAAAGAAACUAACAAGGAUUCCCCUAGUAACUGCGAGUGAAGCGGGAUGAGCUCAAAUUUAAAAUCUGGCGUCUUCGGCGUCCGAGUUGUAAUUUAGAGAAGCGUUUUCCGCGCCGGACCGUGUACAAGUCUCCUGGAACGGAGCGUCAUAGAGGGUGAGAAUCCCGUCUUUGACACGGACCCCCGGUGCUCUGUGAUACGCUCUCGAAGAGUCGAGUUGUUUGGGAAUGCAGCUCAAAAUGGGUGGUGAACUCCAUCUAAAGCUAAAUAUUGGCGAGAGACCGAUAGCGAACAAGUACCGUGAGGGAAAGAUGAAAAGCACUUUGGAAAGAGAGUGAAACAGUACGUGAAAUUGUUGAAAGGGAAACGCUUGAAGUCAGUCGCGUCCGCCGGGAUUCAGCCGCAAGGUGUACUUCUCGGUGGACGGGCCAGCAUCACUUUCGGACAUCGGAAAAGGUCGAGGGGAAUGUGGCACCUCCGGGUGUGUUAUAGCCCCUUGUCGUAUACGGUGAUCGGGAGUGAGGACCGCCUUUGUAGGAUGCUGGCGUAAUGGCUUUAAACGACCCGUCUUGAAACACGGACCAAGGAGUCUAACAUGCCCGCGAGUGUUCGGGUGGAAAACCCGUGCGCGUAAUGAAAGUGAAAGUUGGGAAGGCUGUCGCGGCCUGCACCGACGCCCGGACUUGAGAUUUAUCGAAAGUUCUGCGGUAGAGCGUGUAUGUUGGGACCCGAAAGAUGGUGAACUAUGCCUGAAUAGGGUGAAGCCAGAGGAAACUCUGGUGGAGGCUCGUAGCGAUUCUGA